GCAGAACAAAGGCUAGGACUGUUCUAAGGAGCAUGUGCCUCCUCUCGACCUUGAGGCCGUAGCAAAUAUGAUGCAAGAGAUCUGAAACCAUAUUCGCGGUAUGGAAGAGACUGGGGCAUUUGCAUCCUCUCGACCUUGAGGCCGUAGCAAAUAUAAUGCAAGAGAUCCGGAACCAUAUUCGCGGUUUGGAAGAGAUUGGGUGCAUUUGCCUCCUCUUGACCCUGAGGCGGUAGCAAAUAUGAUGCAAGAGAUCCGGAACCACAUUCGGGUCUGGAACACAGAGGAAAAAGGCCCUUCUCUAGGAACGAAGGGAACUAAGUGCGUAGCUCGUCCUCACAACUUCAGAUUCCCAUAGAGAGUAGAAUAGAAGAGUCUGUCGACUCUUUUUAGUUUUAGGAAAGGGUGGUCAACAAUAUUCGACUCCCAUUGUUUUGACUUGGAAAGCAUUGUCUCACGCCAUUCCAUGCACGAACAUCAAAAUGAGAUCGAAUUGAUAAAUCAUUGAAAACUUCUUUCUUUACUGUUGUCUUACCGAUGCCUCCCAUCCCGACAAUCAUGAUGACUUUGGGUUCACCAAAGAAGACUUUAGUCAGAUCUUCUAAUGAUCUUUACCUUUCAUCAUCACGUCCCACCAUGUCGUUCUUAAUAAGUAGAUUAUGUUUUGCUUAACUUGAAUCCUGAACCAAAGAUUUGCUUGAUGUGGACAAAGCCUAGUAUUUAACUUUCGACUCCCAUUGUUUUGAUUUGGAAAGCAUUGUCUCACGCCAAUCCAUGCACGAACAUCAAAAUGAGAUCGAAUAGAUAAAUCAUUGAAAACUCCUUUCCCUACUGUUGUCUUACCGAUACCCAUUGAGUAUUGCGUGGAUAUGCUACGGUUCGCCUCAGAGUGGAUUGACUCCGAACUGCCUGCAGAGGAACUGGAUUUGAGUGAAAUUCCUCCAGCUGUAGACUCAUGAAUCAAAAUGAAUUUACCUCAUAUUUUUAACCACUUUGUUGAGGGAAUUGUAUAAUGUUGUUUGUAGGUAUAGAGUUCUGUCAUCUGUAUUGAAUUUGCAUCUUCAGACAUGUUAUCUUCUCAUAUGAUUUUGGCAAUUUCCUUUGCUAUUUAUUGAGAUGAUACUUGACUUUUGUUUGGUUCUUUUAAUAUGAUAUUGGAACUCAUAUCCUCC